UGUGCUUGUUUUGCUCAACAUACUAAAAUUGCAAUGAUACAGAAAUGAUUGGUGUGGUCUCUGCACAAGGAUGACAUGCAAAUUUGUGAAGUGCUCCAUAUUUUC
ensembl:snRNA U6 U6 spliceosomal RNA